rnacentral:misc_RNA from 1 species
AAGUCGUAACAAGGUCUCCGUAGGUGAACCUGCGGAGGGAUCAUUAACAUACACAAAAUAUAUACAUAUAUAUUAUAUACUACAUAUAUAUAUAUAUAUGUAUAUACUAUACACCCAUGAACCUAUAUAUAUCACUCAACCCUUGGUAUGAAGUGGGGACAUGUAGCUCCUCUCACUCACUUCUGAGUGGGUUUCCUAUAUGUAUCCCCUACUCAUGCCUCCCCAUUUCUCACCCCAUAUUUUUUCUCCUCACCUAUAUAUAUCUAUGUAUAUAACACACUACAAUAUACUUAUAAAUCUACAUAUCACUCCUAGCAAUGGAUAUCUAGGUUCUC